CGCGAAUCGCCCUUCGGGGUGCCCAGGCGCGAAAACUUUACAAUGCUGGCAACAGCGAUAAGGGGACCUCGAGUGCCAGGUUACAAAUCUGGCUGUCGUGAUGCCUAAAAAGCAUUGCAUAGCAAGGGCCGGGCAAGACCGGUGCCAGCCGCCGCGGUAACACCGGCGGCUCGAGUGGUAACCGUUAUUAUUGGGUCUAAAGGGUCUGUAGCCGGCCGGAUAAGUCUCUUGGGAAAUCCAGCAGCUCAACUGUUGGGCUUUCAGGAGAUACUGUCUGGCUCGAGGCCGGGAGAGGUGAGAGGUACUUCAGGGGUAGGGGUGAAAUCUUGUAAUCCUUGAAGGACCACCAGUGGCGAAGGCGUCUCACCAGAACGGACCUGACGGCAAGGGACGAAAGCUAGGGGCACGAACCGGAUUAGAUACCCGGGUAGUCCUAGCCGUAAACGAUACUCGCUAGGUGUCGGCCACGGUGCGACCGUUGUCGGUGCCGUAGGGAAGCCGUGAAGCGAGCCACCUGGGAAGUACGGCCGCAAGGCUGAAACUUAAAGGAAUUGGCGGGGGAGCAC
rnacentral:rRNA from 1 species